CGACCUCCAAACCCAUCUCCUC
rnacentral:siRNA from 1 species